rfam:Triticum urartu cultivar G1812 contig307161, whole genome shotgun sequence.
UCCAUUGCUCAGUUGGUAAAGCACAAAGCUCUUAACCUUGUGGACGUGGGUUGAAGCCCUACGAUGGAA